GGUUAUGAAUCAACGCGUUGAUUUAUAAGCAUGGAAAUCCCCUGAGUGAAACAACGAAUUGCUGUGUGUAGUCUUUGCCCAUCUCCCACGAUGGGCUUUUUUUUA
rnacentral:other from 1 species